UUCUCUAUCCCGUCCGAAUUCCUCCACCCCAACCGUGAAUAUCAAGAAUCUUUAGUAAUAGAAGUAUGAAAGUGUACUCUCUUCUUUGCUUCAUUCUCUAUUUCCUUCUCUUCAUCUAUUGUGCAUUAGAAUAACUCCAGAUUAGGAUUUUUCUUUCUUGAUUGAUCGAUCGGAUUUGAAUUCCUUUUUUUCGGUUAACUACCUCAGAGAACCUUGUUGUCUCAAUUCAAUAUAGUAUCAAAUGGGCGGAUGCACAAAGGAAUUGGAGCUGACGGGAUGUAGCAGAAAAAGAGAAAGAAAGAGUUGAGGAAGUGAAGAAAUCUAUUGUUGCAGAAUUUGUUAUAGAGCUAUUCAUAAAUACAUUCUUGUAAUUAAUUAUAGAGAACUUCUAUUUAUUACAGUUCAAAUUGUCUAUGUUGAAUGACACUUGUAGGUAUUUAAUUAGAAAUUUGAAGGUUAUACUUUUAUUAUAGCAA